rnacentral:lncRNA from 1 species
GGAGAUAUUAAAGGACACACACACAUAAAUAAAUGCUAAAGCUAUAGAAAUCCAUUAUUAGAAACGAAAAUUUAGAUAGAAGUUAAGUUGUACCGCAAGAAACCCAAAAGAAACAAGAUCAGGAAAAAGGGUGUUUGGGCUUAUCACCUUGAGCUUGAAACAUCAUGCAUACAUGCCAAGACCCCCCUUAAUAUAUUUUCAGAAUUAAGAGAGUGACACUUCCCAAAAUAGCAUAACUAAAUAUACCAAUGCCUCCCAAAACCUAAGCACGGCUAUACAAUCAAACCACGGAAUUCUUAAAUCAGGCUACAAAACAGUCUGAAAUGAUGAGAAUCCACCGACUCGGAUGAGAAGAAGAAAAAUCUAACAACCAAAAUGGGUUAAAAGAGGCAAAUUUAGGAAUUAAACAAGAAAACCCAGAACUGAAACAAUCAAAAAACAAAAUUGGAAACCAAAAACUGAAAAAGAAUCAUAAGGGUAAAGUAAAGGAAUCCUAAAUAGGAUUAGCAAUCAAGAAAUUUCAAGAAAACCCAAAAGGACAUCUCUUUCUUUCUCUAAUAAAAAUCUCCCUUCACACACUGAACGAAACCAAAAACAAAAGAAAAAAAAAAUAGUAAAUAAAUAAAAAAAA